rnacentral:rRNA from 1 species
UACGUGAAACCGUUUAGGGGUAAACCUGAGAAACCCGAAAGUUCGAAAGAGGAGAUUCAGCGUGUCUCGGUGCGCGCGAGUGCCGCUCGGUAGACGAUUGUCGUUCGCGAUGGUCGCUCCUUGCGUGCGCCGCUGCGUGUCGAACGCGUGCACUUCUCCUCCAGUAGGACGUCGCGACCCGUUGGGUGUCGGUCUGCGGCCUGCGGUGGAGCCCGUACGUCGGUUUCGGCCGUGCGUGCGGACCCGCGGUGUCCUGGCCGACUGCUCGACGGUAGAACUAAGGCGCAGAGCCGCGACUAGCUCGCGUUCGGCCCAGCGCAAGCGCAGCCGGUUAUUCGUUCGUCGGACUUGUGCCGAUCUCGAAGCCGGUUGGCUGUUGGCGUUGGUGUUCCCGGACAGACUCUGUUCACGCCUGUCAGCGGCGCUAUAGCUUUGGGUACUUUCAGGACCCGUCUUGAAACACGGACCAAGGAGUCUAGCAUGUGCGCGAGUCAUUGGGACUAUCGAAUCCUAAAGGCGCAAUGAAAGUGAAUGUGAAACCUGGUUUUACAGAGGGAAGAUGGGCAGCAUUUGUUGCCUCGCACUCCCGGGGCGUCUCGUUCUCAUUGCGAGAAGAGGCGCACCUAGAGCGUACACGCUGGGACCCGAAAGAUGGUGAACUAUGCCUGGUCAGGACGAAGUCAGGGGAAACCCUGAUGGAGGUCCGUAGCGAUUCUGACGUGCAAAUCGAUCGUCGGAACUGGGUAUAGCGGCGAAAGACUAAUCGAACCAUC